GAUGGACGCUGGCGGCGUGCUUAACACAUGCAAGUCGAACGGAAAGGCCCAAGCUUGCUUGGGUACUCGAGUGGCGAACGGGUGAGUAGCACGUGGGUGAUCUGCCCUGCACUUCGGGAUAAGCCUGGGAAACUGGGUCUAAUACCGGAUAGGACGAUGGUUUGGAUGCCAUUGUGGAAAGUUUUUUCGGUGUGGGAUGAGCUCGCGGCCUAUCAGCUUGUUGGUGGGGUAAUGGCCUACCAAGGCGUCGACGGGUAGCCGGCCUGAGAGGGUGUACGGCCACAUUGGGACUGAGAUACGGCCCAGACUCCUACGGGAGGCAGCAGUGGGGAAUAUUGCACAAUGGGCGCAAGCCUGAUGCAGCGACGCCGCGUGGGGGAUGACGGCCUUCGGGUUGUAAACUCCUUUCGCUAGGGACGAAGCGUUUUUGUGACGGUACCUGGAGAAGAAGCACCGGCUAACUACGUG
rnacentral:rRNA from 1 species